UUUAAUUUCUGUAUUUAUGGUCGAAUUUAUUCAUUUUUCACCACCCACGCCCUGAUGUGGGUUGGUGCCCGGGUGGGCUAAUCCCUGGGGAAAAAAUUGGUGACAGGCUUCCUGGUGUGAGCUCUGUGGGUUCCGUAAGACAAUUAAGUAGUCUCCCUCCAUGUUAGAGCUUAUAAGAUAGCAGGUUCUCCAGGGCUGAGAAUAAUGGUUACAGUACAGUUUGCUUAACAGCUUUACACUCAGAGGUGGCCUAGAUAUUUAUUUUCUUUAAUAGUCUAUGAGAUACAUACUGUAGAGCAGUGUUCUCUGAUGGGCAAGUGAUCUUUAUUCACAAGUUAGGCUUAAUUUUGCUAUACAGACACACUACAGUUGUAAGGUGCAUGUGGAUUGAUAGACACAAGAUGGCAGAAAUUCCACGAUUGCAAAGUGGGAGAAAUGAAGAAAGUGAAUAAUGAAAAUUUAAAAUAAAUGGAUUUGCAUAGAAUUAGGAUGGUAUAAUAAUGAAGUACUAUACCCGAGUUGUAUCUAACAUAACUGGACUAUUUUAUCAGUACACCGACCAUGGAGACAGUAAUGUAGUAUUUGAGAAAGUUGGGAAACAUCACCCAACAAGAAGAAAGUUGUGGAAGAGGUACAAGUCAUUAUUAAAGUGAAUAGGUUUAGAUAAUUAGCUAAGUGAUGUGUACAACUGGGAUGCAUCUCAUGAGAGCAGUAAUUGCAUGUGAAAUAGACCUGGCGGUUGUAAUGAAUAGUGUAUGUUGAGAAAUAUAUCCAAGCCCCAAAAGACACCGACAGUAUAAGCUUUUGGGAUACAUUAUUUGUCAUGUUAAGAAUAAGAAUACAGACAUUAAUGUGUGGUCAAAUCUAUUUACUGUUCUUGAAUGAAAUGUAAAUGAAAAGUGAUCUUGUUUAUAAAAGACAGUAGGAGUUUGAGUUUUGGUGGCAGGUGGCUUGUGCCUGUCUCAACUAUGGACGUGUCGAGGGAAUAAAGUGAACCUAACAUAGAUACAGUUUUAUGAUGACCAAUAUUCACAAGAAGAGUUCUCUAAAUAAGUCAACAACUUUUUUCCCGUCAAAGCAGUAAUUUAUGAGGAAACUCAGUGUUUACCAUUAAUUGUUUACCCUCACUGUCUGUGUGUAUUGUUUGAAUACAUGUACGGUACUUUAAAUUACGGCAUUCUCUAUAUACACGCUGCUGUGUCCCUCGGCGUGUUUCAGCUCCUUUAAUGGGGUAUAUUGUAUGUCCUAGAAUUAGGACGGCUGUUUGUAAUUGACUGACAGUUUUGUUUUGGGGAUGUCAUUACUUGCCCAAACAAGCUUUAAGGGAUUGCAGUGAUGACAUAACAUAGGAUUUGAUGGUCGUCAUCACCUAGGGCCGCAUCCCUGACUCCUCCAGAGGUGGCAGGUGGGAUAAUGGCUCUUGUCGGUCCAGACUCCACAUGGCCACUCAAGUGACCUAAGGCCACUUCAUGGCCCAGGACACUCAACUUGUUGGUUGGGUGGCCUAUAUUAGGGACUAAAAGACGUCAUUUUCUAAAGGGGUCUGGGAUGGGAUGGUAACUGCCGUCUGUCCAUGGCUCAGGAGUUGUGAAGGCUGACCUUCAAUUUUACAAACUGACAAUCGAAUCUUUUAAAUGAAGCUACAUUACUAUAUGUGUAUUUCAUCUUUGCCCAUUCAUUUUUAGUCCUCAUUUGCUCCUGUUGAGUUUGUCCUUCAUUAUCCAAUGCCAUUUCUGGAUAAAACCUUAAGGUCUCACAUUGACCCGGGCCAAGGAGUGAGGCGCAACAGUGAACAGCUCGUUACCUCCAGCCAGUCUAGGAACUCGAACACAUCAAAGAUGGCGGCCGCUGGAUGAGGAAGUCGCGGCCAUUUGUGUGGACGGGAAAUAAGUCGGUGACAUGAUGUACCAUCUUCCUGAGGCAGUGGACCAGAAGGUAUGACACUGUAGACACUGGGAAGAAUACUUUACUACCAUCACCAAGUGGCAUCAUCAACAUAACCAGCCAACUGAAGUUAACCUGAGAUGGACACAAACUUCACCUGCUGCUGUAUGGUGACAUGAUGUACCAUCUUCCUGAGGCAGUGGACCAGAAGGUAUGACACUGUAGACACUGGGAAGAAUACUUUACUACCAUCACCAAGUGGCAUCAUCAACAUAACCAGCCAACUGAAGUUAACCUGAGAUGGACACAAACUUCACCUGCUGCUGUAUGGUGACAUGAUGUACCAUCUUCCUGAGGCAGUGGACCAGAAGGUAUGACACUGUAGACACUGGGAAGAAUACUUUACUACCAUCACCAAGUGGCAUCAUCAACAUAACCAGCCAACUGAAGUUAACCUGAGAUGGACAAACUUCACC